rnacentral:rRNA from 1 species
AAUGAACCGGCGAGUUACGAUUUGAUGCAAGGUUAAGCAGUAAAUGUGGAGCCGUAGCGAAAGCGAGUCUGAAUAGGGCGUUUAGUAUUUGGUCGUAGACCCGAAACCAGGUGAUCUACCCUUGGUCAGGUUGAAGUUCAGGUAACACUGAAUGGAGGACCGAACCGACUUACGUUGAAAAGUGAGCGGAUGAACUGAGGGUAGCGGAGAAAUUCCAAUCGAACCUGGAGAUAGCUGGUUCUCUCCGAAAUAGCUUUAGGGCUAGCCUCAAGUGAUGAUUAUUGGAGGUAGAGCACUGUUUGGACGAGGGGCCCCUCUCGGGUUACCGAAUUCAGACAAACUCCGAAUGCCAAUUAAUUUAACUUGGGAGUCAGAACAUGGGUGAUAAGGUCCGUGUUCGAAAGGGAAACAGCCCAGACCACCAGCUAAGGUCCCAAAAUAUAUGUUAAGUGGAAAAGGAUGUGGCGUUGCCCAGACAACUAGGAUGUUGGCUUAGAAGCAGCCAUCAUUUAAAGAGUGCGUAAUAGCUCACUAGUCGAGUGACACUGCGCCGAAAAUGUACCGGGGCUAAACAUAUUACCGAAGCUGUGGAUUGUCCUUUGGACAAUGGUAGGAGAGCGUUCUAAGGGCGUUGAAGCAUGAUCGUAAGGACAUGUGGAGCGCUUAGAAGUGAGAAUGCCGGUGUGAGUAGCGAAAGACGGGUGAGAAUCCCGUCCACCGAUUGACUAAGGUUUCCAGAGGAAGGCUCGUCCGCUCUGGGUUAGUCGGGUCCUAAGCUGAGGCCGACAGGCGUAGGCGAUGGAUAACAGGUUGAUAUUCCUGUACCACCUAUAAUCGUUUUAAUCGAUGGGGGGACGCAGUAGGAUAGGCGAAGCGUGCGAUUGGAUUGCA